UUUUUUUCUUCUUCUUCUUCUUCGACUCU
rnacentral:sRNA from 1 species